UGGCCACCUUUCGCCAUGAGGACACAUGAGGAGGGAUCACCAUAUCCGGAGGCGUGUUCUCCCCUGUGCCUCUGUUAGAGAUCCACAUGGAGCUUCAGUGCAUCUCUCUGGCCUCGCCCUCCUGCCUAGAGAAACCAGGCCUCCUCUCCCUGGACGCCCUCAUCACCACGUGGUAGAGAGUACACCGGGUUUGGAGCCAGACAGGCUCUGCCUUUCUCUGGCUGUGAGACCUUGAGUAGAGCCCGAGACUGUUGUAUUUUCUCCUUUGCAGAGUAGGGAUAAUAAUGUCUAGCUCACCGUGCCAUCUAGAUUUUUUCCCCUAUGUUAUUUACUAAGAGUUUAUAGUUUUGCGUGUAGGUCUGUGAUCUGUUUUGUGUUGAUUUCUUGUAAAAGGCGUAAGGUCUGUAUCUAGAUUUUUUUUUUUUCUUUCCUUCUUUCACAUGGGCAUGUCCAGUUGUUCCAGGACCAAGUAUGGAAAGACUCUCUUUCUGCCAUUGUAUUGCCUUUGCUCUUUUAUCAAAGAUAGUUGGCCAUGGUUACUGGGUCCAUUCUGGGCUCUCCAUUCUGUUGCAGGAGUCUGGGUGCCUACUCGUCCACCAGUGCCACUCUAUCUUGGCUAUUGUCUAUUUAUGGAAAGUCUUCAGCCUGGGAGUGCCAGCUCUCUGGUUUUGUUCUUCUUCACAUUGCGGGAGCUGUUCUGGAUCUAUUCCCUCUCCAUGGAAAUCUCAGAGCCAUUUUGUUGAUAUACACUGUAGAAUAUAAAGAUUUUCAUUGGAAUUGCUUUGAAUCUGUACAUGAAAUUGGAAAAACUGAUGUCCUGACAACAUUAAAUUUUCCUGUUCAUGAA